GCCGGGCACGAUGGCUUAUGCCUGUAAUCCCAGCACUUUGGGAGGCUGAGGCAGGUGGAUCACCUGAGGUCGGGAGUUCGAGACCAGCCUGACCAACAUGGAGAAACCCUGUCUCUA
rfam:Pan troglodytes isolate Yerkes chimp pedigree #C0471 (Clint) chromosome 1, whole genome shotgun sequence.